GUUCCAAUAUAUACAUUCUUUGUAUGUGUUUACUUUUCCCCCUAGAGUUAUGGCUAAACUGAAUAGAACCAAAUUCCCAAGAUCUGCUUCUUUCUCUUUUAAUAUCCUAUUUUUCCAAAGCCACCGAGCUGAUGUCCUUCAACAAAUGGAUUAAAGUAAAUGCUGAGAACCAGCUCUCGUGUCCGAGCAGGGGGGAAUGAAGGGUUUAUACCCAAGGCAACUAGGGGCAUACUCAUGAUGGUCAAUAUAACAUUAAGGCUCUUACUCUAGAGACCAGGAUGAACAACUCUGAACUUCACAGGCUCAGCUUCAAGUAUACAAGGAAGAGCCUGUGGCUGGAUGGUAAUGGCAUUAACAGGAAACAAGGGGGGAAGGGGAAGGAAAGAGAGGUCCUUAGGGAGGCCUAACAAAAAAAAAAAAAAAAAAAAAGCUCAGAAGUUAAAAUGACCUAAUUUGUUUGGCAGCUUAUUCAGAGGCCGGAGGCUUAGAAUACAAGCCACAUUCCUCUAACAUCUUUAGCAGCAAUACCAUAUUUGGUAAUCAAUAUCCUGCGCAGCUAAGUUUCCAUCCAUAGGGAUUAGCCAAGCCAAAAACAUUUUAAAUGUUAAGGGAUGAUGAAGAGGAGAAAAAAGAGGGGCAGGAAAAGGGAGAACACAGAAACGAAGAGGGAAAAAAGAAAAAGAGGCAGAUAGGAAGAAGACAAGAGAAAAAAAUUCCUUGUGUUUUUAAUUAAAGCCUACUAAGAUUCUUCUCUGGCUACAAUUACUCCACAUUAAAUGCUGUCAGGAUAAGAUUACUGCCAAGUGAAAGGGUGAACCUGUGUCUUUCAAAAGCAACCUUUUCCUCUCUUGCUCAUAAUUCACCGUUCUUCUCACAAUGAACAGAGAACCUUUCUCUUCCAA
rnacentral:lncRNA from 1 species